rnacentral:lncRNA from 1 species
UGGGAAAGGGAAGGCAGAAAUCCUUAAGCACUUUCCCCCAGACCUGCGACUCUAAUAGCUCCACCCAUCUUUGCAGAUCUUAGAUGGCCCAUGGCGGGACCACUGGGGUGGUGGCCAGGGGCAGCUGAGCCCGUUGUAUCCUUGUGCUCCCGUGGUUGGCGGUUCUCUUGAGAAUGUGGGGUUCCAAUAUGGGGAGAACUCUGUGUCCACAGUUGUGGCUCUGAUCAUCCAUCCCAGGAAAUGGAAAAAGUCACACGCCAUUCCUUGCUCAAGCAGCCAUUUCAGAUGGCCAGUUCACCAUACCCGUCUCCCCUCCAUCCUUUCCUUAAUGCUCUGUAAAUAAACACUGAAAUGCCACAUUAGUUUGGCCCCUCCCAGGAAACUUUCAAAAUUGAGGUUUUAAGGUCUAAGGAAAUAAAGCUAUUUCUUUGGCUAUAAAAAUGUUGUGAAAGAUGCUGAAUAUAAAAUAACUUGGCGUUCUCUUAAACUUAAAAAAAAAAGUACUUAGUGCUUUGUUUCUUCGAGUAACUGUGUCUUGUUCCCUUUCUAGUAAUUCCAACCUCUUAGCCAAGACCAGAGCUAAAAGGGCACCUUCAUCACACCGCCGACGUUGACCCCAGGCUGACAAAUGUGACCUGCUUCCGUUGGUCUUUGAAUCCUCAUUUCUAUUUGCUUUUCAACUUUAUUGUAUAUAUCUUUUAUGUAACUUACUUCAAGUUAUUUUGUAGGGAAAUGUGUAAAAAACCCCUGCUUUUUGGGAUCAUGAAAAUAUUUCAAAGUUAGAUUAUGGUGAUGGUUGCCCAACUUUGUAAAUAUACUAAAGAUCGUUCAAUGGUACGCUUUAAACGGAUGAACUUAAUGGUAUAUAAAUUAUCUCAAUAAAAC